rnacentral:rRNA from 1 species
CCUACGGGAGACAGCAGUGGGGAAUAUUGCGCAAUGGGCGAAAGCCUGACGCAGCGACGCCGCGUGAGGGAUGAAGGUCUUCGGAUCGUAAACCUCUGUCAGCAGGGAAGAACGGUCACUGUGCUAAUCAGCAGUGAAUUGACGGUACCUGCAAAGGAAGCACCGGCUAACUACGUGCCAGCAGCCGCGGUAAUACGGAGGGUGCGAGCGUUAAUCGGAAUUACUGGGUGUAAAGCGUUCGUAGGCGGUAUGUCAAGUCAAGGGUGAAAUCCCCGCGCUCAACGUGGGAACUGCCUUUGAAACUGGCAAACUUGAGUGUGUGAGAGGAUAGUGGAAUUGCAGGUGUAGGAGUGAAAUCCGUAGAUAUCUGGAGGAACAUCAGUGGCGAAGGCGACUAUCUGGCACAUAACUGACGCUGAGGAGCGAAAGCGUGGGUAGCAAACAGGAUUAGAUACCCGGGUAGUC